rnacentral:lncRNA from 1 species
AUUUUGGAAAAAAAAAAGUAGAACCAAACUUCCUCUUUUAUAAGUAGUAUAGAUAUAUAUAUAGAGAGAGAGAGAGAGUUCGUCUACUAUGAUCUUAUGAGUAUGAUAGCCUUUAUAUUCAUAUGUCGUUUUUUAUUCAAUCGUUCAUUUUAUGCCAACUUGAUAGAUUUUAUUGUAGUUUCAAAAAAUUACAAAAUUUAUUUUUUAAAAUUUUAAUAAAUAUUCUAAAUUAUAUUUAACUAUGUGGAUGAUGGCUUCCGAAGCUUCAUUAUUAAAAAUAAGUUAAAAGAAUAAAAAACUCUAUAUUUAUAAGAGUACAUUAGUUCUACUUGCUCUCUCUGUAUAUAUAUAUAAAGCAAGCACAAAUAAAUAUUUCUUAUUAUUAUUUUAUUUUGUCGCAUAUAAUGUAGUUUUGGUGUGGUAUCCAGUUGUCCGCCAUGACAAAAAGUCAGAGAAUACAGGGAACCAGGCCCACCUCAAAAUGAUUAUUAAUUUAGUUAAAGCAUAACAUUAUAUAUAGGACAAUUUGCAUAAAAAAUUCACUAAUUCUGUGCUUUUGCAAAAGUGGGCCAUCUUUUUAGUUUUUACAGAUUCGGGCCGAAUUUUCAGAAGGAUGACCAAACUACCCUCUUUCAAAAUUCAUAAAAAUUAUAUACUUUAAAUGUCUAGAAAAAUACAACUGCUAAGCCAUUAUGUAUAAAAUUUUUUGGAAAUGACAACUGCAAAGCCAUAAUUAUAUGAAAGAGUGCAAUAUCCUCUCAAUUAGUGCAACAAUCUCUUCAAAAUAGUGCAAUAUCUGUAUAAGUAGUGGAACAUAUGCAUUGUUAAUACACAUUUUGCAUGAUUUUUACACUAAGAUACGUACAGUUUAGUAUAUUACGCGAAAAUAAUAUAAUAUAUUACAAUAUAUUAUAAAAAUUAU